UCCGUGUUCACCACGGCAGUCUCCUUAGAGAGCCCAACUGAAUGCUGGCAACUAAGGACAAGGGUUGCGCUCGUUGCGGGACUUAACCCAACAUGUCACCACACGAGCUGACGACAGCCAUGCAGCACCUGUCUCCCGGCGGUAUUGCUACCGAGACCGUAUUUCUACGGCUGUCCGGGGAUGUCAAACCCAGGUAAGGUUCUUCGCGUUGCUUCGAAUUAAACCACAUGAUCCACCGCUUGUGCGGGCCCCCGUCAAUUCCUUUGAGUUUUAGUCUUGCGACCGUACUUCCCAGGCGGGGUACUUAGUGCGUUAGCGCCGGUUCAGCAGGGGUCAAGACCCGCCAAACCUAGUACCCAUCGUUUACAGCGUGGACUAC
rnacentral:misc_RNA from 1 species